GUGAAAUUCUUGGACCGUCGCAAGACGGACAGAAGCGAAAGCAUUUGCCAAAAACGUUUUCAUUGAUCAAGAACGAAAGUUAGAGGUUCGAAGGCGAUCAGAUACCGCCCUAGUUCUAACCAUAAACGAUGCCAGCUAGCGAUCCGCCGACGUUCCUCCGAUGACUCGGCGGGCAGCUUCCGGGAAACCAAAGCUUUUGGGUUCCGGGGGAAGUAUGGUUGCAAAGCUGAAACUUAAAGGAAUUGACGGAAGGGCACCACCAGGAGUGGAGCCUGCGGCUUAAUUUGACUCAACACGGGAAACCUCACCAGGCCCGGACACCGGAAGGAUUGACAGAUUGAGAGCUCUUUCUUGAUUCGGUGGGUGGUGGUGCAUGGCCGUUCUUAGUUGGUGGAGCGAUUUGUCUGGUUAAUUCCGAUAACGAACGAGACUCUGGCCUGCUAACUAGGCGUAUUUCCGACAUCUCGAAGACACCGCCGGCUUGGUGUGCUCGUCACUCCUAGUCGUGCGCGGUUUUUACUGUCGGCGUACAAACAAUUCUUCUUAGAGGGACAGGCGGCUUCUAGCCGCACGAGAUAGAGCAAUAACAGGUCUGUGAUGCCCUUAGAUGUUCUGGGCCGCACGCGCGCUACACUGAAGGAAUCAGCGUGUCUUCCCUGGCCGAGCGGCCCGGGUAACCCGCUGAACCUCCUUCGUGCUAGGGAUUGGGGCUUGAAAUUGUUCCCCAUGAACGAGGAAUUCCCAGUAAGCGCGAGUCAUAAGCUCGCGUUGAUUACGUCCCUGCCCUUUGUACACACCGCCCGUCGCUACUACCGAUUGAAUGAUUUAGUGAGGUCUUCGGACCGGCACGCGGUGGCGUUUCUACGUCGCCGAUGCUGCUGGAAAGAUGACCAAACUUGAUCAUUU
rnacentral:rRNA from 1 species